rnacentral:misc_RNA from 1 species
UACGGGGGGUGCAAGCGUUAAUCGGAUUUACUGGGCGUAAAGAGCUCGUAGGCGGUUGAUCAAGUUGGAUGUGAAAGCCCAGGGCUUAACCUUGGAACUGCAUUCAAAACUAGUUGACUCGAGUAAGGGAGAGGAGAGUGGAAUUUCCAGUGUAGCGGUGAAAUGCAUAGAUAUUGGAAGGAACACCAGUGGCGAAGGCGACUCUCUGGCCUAUUACUGACGCUGAGGAGCGAAAGCGUGGGGAGCAAACAGG